rnacentral:rRNA from 1 species
GACAUUUGCUUAGUUGGUCCGCCGCAAGGUGGGUACUGACUGAGCAUGUCUUUCCUCCUGAAGACCUUGUGUGCUCUUCAUCGGGUGCACAGGGGAUUCGGGACCAUUACCUUGAAAAAAUUAGAGUGCUCAAAGCAGGCUUGUGCUUGAAUACGUUAGCAUGGAAUAAUGAAAUAGGACUUUGGUCUUAUUUUGUUGGUUUCUAGGACCGAAGUA